CGGGCUGGCAAGACGGUCGCGUCGGCAUCCAUUCUCGUGAUGGGUGUCGCCGAGGAACGUCCGGGCUCCGCAGAGCAGGACGGUGGGUAACGCCCACCCGGGGUGACCCGCGAGACAGUGCCACAGAAAACAGACCGCCCGCGCGUGCGCGGGUAAGGGUGAAACGGCGGUGUAAGAGACCACCAGCGACCGGGGUGACCCGGCCGGCUCGGCAAACCUCGUCCGGAGCAAGGUCAGACAGGAAACCAUGAGGCUGCUCGUCUCGUUUCCGGGUAGACCGCUAGAGGGUCGCGGCAACGCGGCCCCGAGAUAGAUGGCCGUCCACGACGACCGCACCGAACGGCGCGGCACGUCCGGACAGAACCCGGCGUAUCAGCCGGCCCGUUCC
rnacentral:RNase_P_RNA from 1 species